rnacentral:rRNA from 1 species
CAGUAGCCGCGGGAAUACGUAGGUGGCAAGCGUUGUCCGGAUUUAUUGGGCGUAAAUCGAGCGCAGGCGGUUUCUUAAGUCUGAUGUGAAAGCCCCCGGCUCAACCGGGGAGGGUCAUUGGAAACUGGGAGACUUGAGUGCAGAAGAGGAGAGUGGAAUUCCAUGUGUAGCGGUGAAAUGCGUAGAUAUAUGGAGGAACACCAGUGGCGAAGGCGGCUCUCUGGUCUGUAACUGACGCUGAGGCUCGAAAGCGUGGGGAGCGAACAGGAUUAGAUACCCAGUAGUCCCUGUCUCUUAUACA